rnacentral:rRNA from 1 species
GUCGAGCGGCAGCGCGGGGGCCACCCUGGCGGCGAGCGGCGAACGGGCGAGGUACUUUCGGAACGUACCCUGACGUGGGGGAUAACACAUCGAAAGAUGUGCUAAUACCGCAUACGACCUGAGGGUGAAAGCGGGGGACCGAAAGGCCUCGCGCGACAGGAGCGGCCGAUAUCGGAUUAGCUAGUUGGUGGGGUAAAGGCUCACCAAGGCGACGAUCCGUAGCUGGUCUGAGAGGAUGAUCAGCCACACUGGAAUUGAGACACGGUCCAGACUCCUACGGGAGGCAGCAGUGGGGAAUUUUGGACAAUGGGGGCAACCCUGAUCCAGCCAUUCCGCGUGAGUGAAGAAGGCCUUCGGGUUGUAAAGCUCUUUCGGCAGGAACGAAACGGCGGGCUCUAACAUAGUCUGUCAAUGACGGUACCUGAAGAAGAAGCACCGGCUAACUACGUGCCAGCAGCCGCGGUAAUACGUAGGGUGCGAGCGUUAAUCGGAAUUACUGGGCGUAAAGCGUGCGCAGGCGGUUUCGUAAGACAGAUGUGAAAUCCCCGGGCUUAACCUGGGAACUGCGUUUGUGACUGCGAGACUUGAGUGUGGCAGAGGGGGGUGGAAUUCCACGUGUAGCAGUGAAAUGCGUAGAGAUGUGGAGGAACACCGAUGGCGAAGGCAGCCCCCUGGGUUAACACUGACGCUCAUGCACGAAAGCGUGGGGAGCAAACAGGAUUAGAUA